ACACAGCCCCCCAAUGCCGAAGAAGAGUCGGGCUCCAGCAGUGCUUCAGAAGAGGAAGACACGAAACCGAAGCCUACCAAGCGGAAACGAAAAGGGUCCUCUGCAGUGGGCUCUGACAGUGACUGAGGCCCUGCAUUCCCCAUCCCACCCCCGGCUGGACUGCCCUCUCCUUCUUGGUGAUUCAAAGUGUGGCCACUUGCUGGGCCAUGUGAACCAGCAGAGGAGAGUUCCUUGGCUAUGCUGUUGUUCCCCCGCUGUCCAGGGAGAAUGGAGGUGGACUGAGGAGUGAAGUUUGGGCGAACUGCACAGAGCUGCUCCUCUUCACCCCGAAAAUUUGUCUUUUUACAGAAUCCAGGUUCUCCCCUCCCUCAUCACUGCUGUUGCUUCCUUUGAAAGUCUAAACCACUGGAGGCUUCUUUUUCCUUCCUCUCUCCUUCCCCAGUUUCCUCUGUCCCAAUUAAAACCAGGAUGGAGAGCA
rnacentral:lncRNA from 1 species